GCACUUAUAGCUCAGUUGGUUAGAGCACCCGUUUGGUAAGCGGGAGGUCUCCAGUUCGAAUCUGGAUAAGUGCACCA
rnacentral:tRNA from 1 species